rnacentral:rRNA from 1 species
AUUGAACGCUGGCGGCAGGCUUAACACAUGCAAGUCGAACGAGUGGCGGACGGGUGAGUAAUGCAUGGGAAUCUGGCUUAUGGAGGGGGAUAACUACGGGAACCCGUAGCUAAUAGCGCGUACCGUAGGAUGAGCCCACGUGGGUUUAGGUAGUUGGUGUGGUAAAGGCUCACCAAGCCGACGAUCUCUAGCUGGUCUGAGAGGAUGACCGGCCACACUGGGACUGAGACACGGCCCAGACUCCUACGGGAGGCAGCAGUGGGGAAUAUUGGGCAAUGGGGGCAAGCUGACGCAGCCAUGCCGCGUGAAUGAAGAAGGUCUUCGGGUUGUAAAGUUCUGUCGGUAGCGAGGCGUUAACUAACGAAGAAGCACCGGCUAACUCCGUGCCAGCAGCCGCGGUAAUUC